rnacentral:rRNA from 1 species
UUACUGUGAGUAAAACAGAAUGUUCAAAGUAAUCGGCUUGCCGAUUGAAUGUCAAAGCAUGGAAUAACAAGGGAUCGACCACUGUGGCCUCUUUUUGUUGGUUUUCAAGCCUCAGUGUGGUAACUCCGCGCAGGACUUCUCUUGGGCGUUCCUGGGUUCCUACUCAGGUCGUCCUUGUAGAGUCCUGUUGCAUUCGGGAUCAAUAGGAGCGCGGGGAGCAAUCAGUACUUCGGGGUGAGAGGUGAAAUUCAUAGACCCCCGAAAGACUAACAUCAGCGAAAGCCGUUUGCUAUCGCGCUUUCAUUAAUCAAGAACGAGAGAAAGGGGAUCGAAGAUGAUCAGAUACCGUCGUAGUCCUUUCCGUAAAUGAUGCAGACUUGGGAUCGGUCACUGUUCUUCUAGUGACAUGAUCGGCACCUCAUUCCCUGUCGAGAAAUCAAAGUCUUUGUGUUCCGGGGGGAGUAUAUUCGCAAGGCUGAAACUUAAAGGAAUUGACGGAGAACCACCACCAGACGUGGAGUGUGUGGCUUAAUUCGACCCAACACGGGAAAUCUUACCAGGCCAGGACAUGGUAAGGAUUGCCAGAUUGAAAGCUGUUGGGUGCUGAGGAGCAGUCUAUUACUUAUUGGGAUUAUGCAACCCUCAAUUGCAUUGAAACGAGAGCCAAAAGCAGGUCUGUGAUGCUCCUAUAUGUCCUGGGCCGCACGCGCACUACACUGACACAGAAAACGAGCAUUCCGCUUGCGGCCUGCGCCGAAGGGUGCGGGAAAUCUUUGAAACCUGUGUCGUGAUGGGGAUAGAUCAUUGAAAUUAUUGUCCUUGAACGAGGAAUGUCUUGUAGGCGCGUUUCAUCAGAACGCACCGAAUACGUCCCUGGUUCUUGUACACACCGCCCGUCGUUGCCUGUAAUGGCAUGUGAGUAGAACCGUUUGGAGGUUCCGGUGCUUGCAUCGGUCCAAAAUUCGGUAAUACUUGCAUGCUAGAAGAGGCAAAAGUCGU